AUUGAUUGUUUUGUAAUCUUUUGCGUUUCAGGUGUAUUCGUCCAUCUAUUUCUGUGGUCACGUAUUCUUCCUCGUAGGCUAUUUAGCCAUGCCACAUCUCCGAAAGGCGCUGGUGCCUAAGAAAGAACGGAGCGAGAUAAAACAGGAUUAAAACUUGGUACGUCAUGGUCCAACUUAGGCUAAAUAUCCACUGAAGGGAACUGCGACUUUCGAUGAGCAGAAUGGAACAUAUUUUAAGGCCUUUCGUAAUAUAUAUGUCCAUGAAAAAAUAAAUUUCUAUAUAUUUUUGUGUUUUAAACGGGAAGGGUGUUUUUUAUAAACAUUCGGAGAAAUGUUUACAGGAAAUUACCAUCGUGCCACAUGGGGUAAUUGUGAGCCAAUCAGGAGCGAUUUCCUGUUUUUUUUGUUUUUGUAAAGAAACGUUGGACUUGUUGUUGAACUUGAGAGACUUUCAUGCUGUCGACACAGAAUUGCACUCACCAGUAACGGGUUCAGAGUCAACGGCUCCGAUUUGUUUUUUGUUCUCAUUUCUCUCUCACGUCUACCGCCCACAUUUUGCAGCAGCGAGACUUCACAGAAGGUUAAAGCACAGCGCCAGCACAUGUGGCUUUUUCUGAUGUAAUAAAACAAAAAUGCUUUGUGCAAAAAGACCUAAUUAUAAUAAUAAUGAUAUUAAUAAUAAUUAUCAGGAGGUGAUAUUUCUUGAAAAUGGCUGCCAGUGGUUAUACAAGCACUGUAAAUCACACACUGUACACUAAUCCCCAACUCAAAAUGGCCUUGUAUUAAUGAAUGUUUUUACAGUACAUUUGUUUUGUUUUUUGAUUUGUGAUGGGGAUAUAAAAAAAACUUGAUUUUAUAGAGUUUUAAUAUGAAAAAAAGAACAUUUUGUAGCUUUGGGAUAAUAUUUCAUGAGAUAACUUGCAUUGUUCCCUUACUUUUUCUCUGGUUUGAUGUUCCUUGAGGUUUUCUUUUGUUCUAUGUUUCCUCCUCUCCUUCUCUUCAGUCUCCUCCACUCCUCUGUCCUUGAGCUCGGAAAUGCACAGAUGCAAAAGUGAAACAUUGCAGAAGACGACUUGAACACUGCCCAAUAACACGCUCACUCCUGUCAACCCUCUGCAUUCAUCCUAUCUCCAUAUGAUCUCCAUAUGGUGUUUUCAAAAUGACGAAUAUGUGAACUGGAAGCAACGGAAA